GUUCACCCACAGCCCUGCCCUUCAGGAACCUACAGUAACAGCACGGGUCUCCAACAUGCAGAGCAGUGUGUCCACUGUCCUCCAGGUUAUUAUUGUUUAGGAACAAACUCUACGUCCCCUUCUGGUCCAUGCUUUGCGGGGUAUUACUGCACCGGAGGUUCAGCCACACCAAUCCAACACGAAGCUGAGGAGGGACACUACUCUUUGGAAGGAGCUGUCAGGGCCGAACCAUGCCCAUUGGGAACUUUCCAACUAGGAAGAGGCUACAACUCAUGCAUUGAAUGCCAAUCAGGAAGAUUGUGCAACAAGACAGGCCUAUCCCAGCAGCCCCUGUGCCCACCUGGAAACUUCUGCCCUGCUGGAUCCUUAAUUGCUCACCCAUGUCCCCCUGGUACAUACACGGCAAGUUCAGGGGUGGAGGAUCUGCAGCACUGCGGCCCAUGUGAUGCUGGUCAGUACUGCCGCUCUCCUGGACUGACUGCUCCUCAGGGACCCUGUGAGCCUGGUUUUUACUGCACUGGUGGAUCUCAUGUUGGCUCUCCGAUUAGCUCCAGAUAUGGUGACAUAUGCCCC
ensembl:lncRNA